GAUCAUGGUGUUUGUGAUUAGAUUUGAAUGGAUUUGAACCCUUAGCCUGACGAGGAUGUCAGGGCUUGAACGGGGAGAGUAUGUGAGGACCCGUGCGGGCGUGUGUUUAGUCCCACAUCGGUUAUUCGCUGGGUAGAUCUUGGGUAUUUAUACAGGAUCAAGGAACCCAAAUAGUAACUUCCGGCUAGCCAUUUUGGGUGAGGUCCUGGGUUGUUACAA
rnacentral:lncRNA from 1 species